AUGGCCAUAUGACAUUGAAACACAGGUUCCCGUGCGAUCACGGAAGUUAAGCAAUGUCGAGACUGGUCAGUACCUAGACAGGCGACUGUUUGGGAAUGUAUAU